AUUGAACGCUGGCGGCAUGCCUUACACAUGCAAGUCGAACGGCAGCACGGGCUUCGGUCUGGUGGCGAGUGGCGAACGGGUGAGUAAUGUAUCGGAACGUACCAUUGAGUGGGGGAUAACGUAGCGAAAGUUACGCUAAUACCGCAUAUUCUCUCCGGAGGAAAGCAGGGGACCGCAAGGCCUUGCGCUCUUUGAGCGGCCGAUAUCAGAUUAGCUAGUUGGUGGGGUAAAAGCUCACCAAGGCGACGAUCUGUAGCGGGUCUGAGAGGAUGAUCCGCCACACUGGAACUGAGACACGGUCCAGACUCCUACGGGAGGCAGCAGUGGGGAAUUUUGGACAAUGGGGGCAACCCUGAUCCAGCCAUGCCGCGUGAGUGAAGAAGGCCUUCGGGUUGUAAAGCUCUUUCGGCCGGGAAAAAAUCGCAUGGGUUAAUACCCUGUGUGGAUGAUGGUACCGGAAUAAGAAGCACCGGCUAACUACGUGCCAGCCGCCGCCGUAAGAC
rnacentral:rRNA from 1 species